rnacentral:tRNA from 1 species
GUCCUCGUAGCUCAGGUGGAUAGAGCGACAACCUCCUAAGUUGUAGGCCGGCGGUUCGAGUCCGCCCGCGGACGCCA